GAGUUUGAUCAUGGCUCAGAUUGAACGCUGGCGGCAGGCCUAACACAUGCAAGUCGAGCGGAUGACGGGAGCUUGCUCCUUGAUUCAGCGGCGGACGGGUGAGUAAUGCCUAGGAAUCUGCCUGGUAGUGGGGGACAACGUUUCGAAAGGAACGCUAAUACCGCAUACGUCCUACGGGAGAAAGCAGGGGACCUUCGGGCCUUGCGCUAUCAGAUGAGCCUAGGUCGGAUUAGCUAGUUGGUGGGGUAAUGGCUCACCAAGGCGACGAUCCGUAACUGGUCUGAGAGGAUGAUCAGUCACACUGGAACUGAGACACGGUCCAGACUCCUACGGGAGGCAGCAGUGGGGAAUAUUGGACAAUGGGCGAAAGCCUGAUCCAGCCAUGCCGCGUGUGUGAAGAAGGUCUUCGGAUUGUAAAGCACUUUAAGUUGGGAGGAAGGGCAGUAAGUUAGUACCUUGCUGUUUUGACGUUACCGACAGAAUAAGCACCGGCUAACUCUGUGCCAGCCGCCG
rnacentral:rRNA from 1 species